AUUUUUUCUCUUUUUUUUUCCUUUUUU
rnacentral:sRNA from 1 species